AACGCGAAGAACCUUACCAGGUCUUGACAUCCGAUGCAUAGCACAGAGAUGCAUGAAGUCCUUCGGGACAUCGAGACAGGUGGUGCAUGGUUGUCGUCAGCUCGUGUCGUGAGAUGUUGGGUUAAGUCCCGCAACGAGCGCAACCCUUAUUGCCAGUUACUACGCAAGAGGACUCUGGCGAGACUGCCGUUGACAAAACGGAGGAAGGUGGGGAUGACGUCAAAUCAUCAUGCCCUUUAUGACCUGGGCUACACACGUACUACAAUGGCGUUAAACAAAGAGAAGUGAGACCGCGAGGUGGAGCAAAACUCAAAAACAACGUCUCAGUUCAGAUUGCAGGCUGCAACUCGCCUGCAUGAAGUCGGAAUUGCUAGUAAUCGCGGAUCAGCAUGCCGCGGUGAAUACGUUCCCGGGUCUUGUACACACCG
rnacentral:rRNA from 1 species